UUUCCGUAGGUGAACCUGCGGAAGGAUCAUUCAUAAUAAGUGUUUUAUGGCACUUUUUUAAAUCCCUAUUCACCUUGUGUGCAAUGUCAGGGUUGGGGUCUUUUGACCAGCCCCAAACAUCAACGAUUAUCUCAACUCUUUGUCUGAAAAAUAUUAUGAAUAAAACAAUACAAAAUACAACUUUCAACAACGGAUCUCUUGGCUCUC
rnacentral:misc_RNA from 1 species